GACAGUAUGGCCGAGUGGUCUAAGGCGGUAGCUUAAGGCGCUAUUCCGUAAGGACGUGGGUUCGAAUCCCAUUGCUGUCA